rnacentral:rRNA from 1 species
AGUGAACGCUGGCGGUAGGCCUAACACAUGCAAGUCGAACGGCAGCACAGUAAGAGCUUGCUCUUACGGGUGGCGAGUGGGGGACGGGAGAGGAAAACAUCGGAAUCUACAUUUUCGUGGGGGAUAAGGAAGGGAAAGUUAAGCUAAUACCGCAUACGACCCACGGGGGAAAGCAGGGGAACGUUGGACCUGGCGGGAUUGAAUGAGCGGCUGUCGUAUUAGCUAGUGGGGGGGUGAAAGGCCAACGAAGGCGACGAUCCGUAGCUGGUCAGUGAGGAUGGUCGCCCACACUGGAACUUGGACACGGUCCAUGCUCCUACGGGAGGCAGCAGUGGCGAAUAUUGGACAACGGUCGCAAGCCUUAUCCAGCCAUCCCGCGUGUGUUAAGAAGGCCUUCGGGUUGUAAAGCCCUUUUGUUGGGUAUGAACCGCAUCAGGUUGAUACCCCGCUUUUCUGACGGUACCCAAAGAAUAAGCACCGGCUAACUUCGUG